rnacentral:rRNA from 1 species
AAGAUAGAUCGGGAGUUCCGCCGCCGCAAGCCUCUGUAGCCACCAAAAACCUCUCGGGAGCCCGUUCUGGCACCCUGCUGGAGGGGGAACCCAUCACCGGUGGCCAUCUUCAUCAUCCCGGCGCUCUCCAUGACGAGGAGGGAGUAGUUCACCCUCGGGGCUGAGGGUAUGUACCAGUAGCUAUGUGUUUGAUCUCUCUCUCUCUCGUGUUCCCUCUAUGGCACGAUCUUGAUGUAUCCCGAGCUUUGCUAUUGUAGUUGGAUCUUAUGAUGUUUCUCCCCUCUACACUCUUGUGAUGAAUUGAGUUUCCCCUUUGAAGUUAUCGUAUCGGAUUGAGUCUUUUAU